GCGUGCAUCUCAGGUGCUGGGAACCGCUCGCCUCCCACUCUCACCUGGACGCAGGUGCCGGGAGCCCUGGGCCUCCUCGCCUCUGCUCGCCUGCCUGGCGCUGCUGGAGGCUCAUUCUUCCGCCGGCUCACGGACAGCACUCCGAGCCCGGCAGGCACUGCGCCCACCAGGCAGUGAGCGGGGAGGGUGCCUGUUAGCUGAUGUUUUCAGCUGAGAAACCCAAGUGGGCCCCCGGCCGCGGGCGGGGAGGGUGCGGUCCAUCAGCCAGACAAGGAGCAGAGCCCCGAACUCCACGCCCGCCUCGCUGCAGGGCUGCUGCUUGUCUCUGGGCCUGGAGAGGAGAGGGGAGGAGAGUGGCUGAGGCCUUUCGCCUGGAUGGCCACCGCGUCUAGCUGUCAGGGCCACCGCGAGUGAGUCUAGUACAGUGCAUUGUGGGAGAAUCGGGAUGAACAGCAGGUGGGGUGUGGCUGGGGUAGUGCUUGACUUCAGUCCCUGGGGAGCAGGCUGAAUAAAGCAGAGUGAAAUCUGAGCUGCCCGUGGGUGGGUGGGGCUGUUGAAUGAAAAGUCCUGUCAUGUGACUGAGGCCUGUGGUGGUCACGUGACAGACCUGGAGUGGAUGCGGAGGGAGCAGGCGCCAGGCCUACCUGAGUGGCUGGUCUCUGGGCACCACCGCACGGGAGGGGUCUAAGUCCCCGGCACAGUGCUGUGUCGGACGGCAAGGCUUCUGGAUGGUUCCUGGUAACCAGCCCGAGUCUGUACCAAGUGCACCUGCAGGAGCUCAUGGGGUCCAAAGGGCUGUCAGACCUGCCCUGCCCCCCACCUACCCCUCCUGGGGCUGCCGGGCCUGCAGGCCUGUGCCACAGCACUCCUGGAUUCUCACCACCUGGCAGCACCCUGUGGUGUUCGGAUAGGCCAAUCAGAAAGUUCUCUUGAAGGCAGUGUAUUGUUUGAUUAACGUAAAUGGUAGGUUCUAUGGAAGCAGAAGGAUGUGACUGUAAUCACCCAGCGACGUCCGUCCUUGCAGAGAACUGGACAUGCUCCCCAAGCUGGUCCAGGCCCUGCUCCCUGCACUCCCUGUGGGGGCUCCUGGACCGGCCGGCGGCUUUGUUGAUGAGGCUGGUCAGGACACUCGGUUAUUCUCCUCUUCCCAGCAGCACCUCAUUAAUACAAAGCACCCCUGUGCCUCCCUGGAAUUUCCCAGGUGUGGAGAGUGGGGGAUGAAGGUGUCUUUUGUUACGUUAAUGAGGUGGCUUUUGGAAAGCGCUGGAGGGCGGGGGCUGGCUGCCAGGAGCCCCAGCCUGGUGAUCAGAGGACUAGAACUCUGCCCCCCCCAACCCCCACCCCAACUCGGGGGUGGGGGGGCUAGAGGGGGAGCUCAGUGGCCGGUGGCCCAGGACUCGGUCCGGACUAGUAAUGAGCCUCAUAAACACCGAGGGCGAGGCGGCUCCGGUCCUGGAACCAGACCACCUCCACGUGCCACGCCCUGGCAGGAGCCUGCCCUGCGCCUCUUCCUCUGGCUGUCGACUCGCAUCCUUUAAGAUCCUUUGGAGUAAAUCCAUGACCUAAUGAGGAAACGGGUUUUCCUGAGUUCUGUGAGCCUUUCUGGCAAGUUAUUUGAGCCCAGGGAAGGGGUCCUGGGCCCCCCUCUCUCAGCCAGCUGGUCAGGCCACAGGCAGCGGCUGUGGCGGCAUCUGGAGCGGCGGACAGUCUCGCAGACGGUGCCCUCCCUGUGGAGCCUGGUCUCUCUCCGGUGGAGAGGGUCCGGGUGGAGCUGCUGGGCUCGGGGUUGCUGUGGAGCGGGGAAGCCUCCACACACGUGGGAACGCCAUUUCCAGGCGUCUGGCCGUGUUGGAAGGCUGGUUUUUAAGACGGCAGCGCACCUUCACUCCAGAGGUGACUGGGAGAGUAGGUCUCGUCAUCACAGAAAACGGGGACCUCCGGUUACGGGGUCUCUCGUCUCUGGAGGUGGAGGCAGGCCCUGUGGGCUUAUAGUCUCAUCUACGCAGGUGAAGAAGCUCAGGGCAGGCGUUGCCCUCCCUCCCUUCUAGACGGGCUGGCCUCUCCUGCUCCCGGGGCCACUUCCCGCGUUAAGACCCGUAGGAGAGGGAAGGACCUGUGACACAGGAGGGUUUAUGAGCGACCAGAAACGGCACGGGACGCUGAGGGGCGGCCUUGGACCAGUGGGGGCGUAGCAGAGCCAGUGUCCUGUGCGUGGGGCAGACCUGACUCGUCCUCGCUGCGCCGCUGACCAGCGACCCCAGCCCAGAUGACAGUGACGCUACCUGGGUAACUGUCCCCUGGGCCGCUGCGUGUGCACUGCCUGACAGAGGGAGCCGCUGCGUUAAUGCCUAGACUCCUUAACUAACAGAUUAGCCGGUCGCUCGAUGGGGAGCAACGGUGGAGCCCCUUCCCGUGUCAGCGCCCCACCUCUCCGCAGCCCCAGAAACCACGCCUGCACCCCCUCGGUCAUGAUGAUGAAACUGGUAUUAACUGAGUGGCAAUUAUGGAUUUGUAACUCUCACUCGCAGUAACCCAGCAGCCACAUGCUCAGAAUCCAGCCAGAAAGCGCUCUGCCUGCUGCGCACCGUCCGAGUGGGAAGUUGUGCCAAGAGGAAUAUAAGGAUUGCUCGCCGGGGAACGCAACGGAAGCAGAGAGAGGAGACGUCUUAAUUUAUCCUUACAGAUACGCGGUAGUGUUAUUUACAUAGGUAGAGUCAGCAAUACAGAUCCGUUUCGGUGGUGAUGAGAAUGGCCCCGCAGAAUGCCGACUCGGAGUCCAUGCAAGUCCAGGAGCUGCCCGUGGCCCUGCCCGAGCUGCGGAAGCCCGCGGGCGCCGGCCCCGAGCCGCGCGAUGAGACCGUCAGCGAGGGCUCCAUCGACCGCAUCCCCUUGCGCCUGUGGGUGAUGCACGGGGCCGUGAUGUUCGGCAGGGAGUUCUGCUACGCCAUGGAGACGGCCUUGGUCACGCCCAUCCUGCUACAGAUCGGUAAGUGCCGCCGCCGGGCCCUUCGCUCCUUCGGCACGUGGAGCAGAACGAGGGCUGGCGUGGGCUCGGGGACCUCGGGGCCCACGGCCUGGACCCCUCUGCUCCUGUCUGAAACCAGGGCAGGGGAGGGGACGGUCCCCUGAUGUUGGGGUGGAAUCAAGGCUUUGGGGGUUUGAAUAAGUGCAGUUGGCAUUGAUCCGUCCCGUCGGGGCGUGCGACCAGCCCAUGGAGGCAAGAGGUGAGCCUAGCAUGACACCUGGUGGGAGAAGACACCGAGCAGCUUGAUUAAAGCCCUGUUGUCAGUGUUGCUGUCACCUGCAGUCUGAGUGUCGUGUGCAUCUCCGGCGGCGAGGGUCCGGGUUGUCAGAAGUCCUAGAGUCCGCGGUCCCUUCCACAUCACCCCGAGGUGUUCACUUUCCCUGUUGUCGAAGGAAGUUUAACAAUGUGUGAUUUUUCAGCCUAGAAGAGGUUUGAGUAAGGGACCAAGCCAUUUAAAAGUAUAGUUUCAUUCUAGAAUUUCCCAUGUGCUUGGUAAAGUAUUUGUAAAAUCUACUCAUUUGGGUUUGGAAAUGUCCCUUUCUCCCGAUCGGCCCAGUCUCUGAGUCGGAUCUGAAAACCAGAGUUUUCUGCGUGGUGCCCGCGGGGUGGGGCAGCGACCCCGGGCCAGCAGAGAGCUGGGCGCAUCUCCGUCCCUGCGGGGCCGUCGUCUGAAACUCCGCCUGCGCCCCAUGCCUGUCAUCACACAGCGGUCCUUGGAGGGAGUAGGGGACAAAAGGCGGUCAUUUCUCGGGGCUGGACUCGCCUCCCGCUCCUGGGGCAGCACAGUGGUCAGAGCUCUCACUGAGCCCGUUUCUCCAGCAGGUUGGCCCCGCGGCACGUGCCCUCGGCGGGCCUCCUGGGCCUCCUGAUGGUCUCAGGUGAAUGUGUGCGGUUUCUGCUGGCGUCUUACCAGGGCUUGUCCCGCUGCGUGCAGUUCUUGUGCAUUCUUCAUGGAAGUCCUUGAUCACAUACGUGUUUGCCGUUUUCGCCCUGGUCUGUGGUUUCCCUUUCGCUAUCUUAGUAGCAUCUUGAAAUCAGAAGCUUUACAUGUAGAUGAAAACUGGCAUGCUAACUUUUUUCGUUUUUGUUGUAACUAGAAUCUUGGCCUGGCCCCGGUCAGGAUGGUGUCCUCUCUGUUUUCUUCUAGCUGGUUUGUAGUUUUAGCUCCCACAGUGAGGGCUGUGACCCGCCUUGAGUUGGUGUGUACGUAGAAGAGUUGAAGGGUCUUUUCUCACAUCAUCUGGGGAGGGGGGCGACGGGCAGGGUCCUGGGCGCCCUCCUCACCUCUGACCUGGAGCUGACCCUCCCUGCCACCUGCUCUUGCUGCUGUCCUCAGAGUAGGAAUCCCCCGGAGGAGAAUUCUCAGGCCCCAGGCUCGUCUGGUACAAAGGAGAUCCAGCAGAGGGGAGGGUGUGGCACUGGGCAGGACCCCCAGCUGUCGGCCCAGCAUCCAGGGGCAAAGGAGGCUCCCGCAGACCCAGCCCACCGCACAGGCAGUGGGUGAGGUGCCGGCCACUUCACGUGCCCGCAGCCCGUGAAUGGGGUGAAUGGGGCGUCUCAGACUUAGAAUCCAGUGGGAGUGGGGGUCAGUCUUGGGAAACUCUGGGAACAGCCUGCCCAGCCUCUCUGGGGCCUGUCGCCCGCUGGCAAAGUCUGUUCCCACACAGCCUUUCCCGGGAAGGAGGCGUGUGGGCGCCUGGCCACACACACCCAUUGUUUUCUUCUGGUUCCGGAAGUAGCCCCGAGGGAAAGGAAAAUCCUAUAAAGAAGAAAGGAUGUCUCGCUGCCUCGGGUCUGACUAAUGAGCUGGGUUAAGGCUGAGACACCGACUCCUGCCCGGCCCUGCCUGGGAGUCGGGCCGGAGGCAUCCUAGCCAGCAGGGUGCUGGGUUCUCCUGGAGCCGGCGAGGUGCACCUGCAUUUUGUGUGUGUGUGUCUGUCUGUUAAAAAGCCAGGCUCUUCCCCUUCCCGUUGUAGCCUAAGGAGAAUCGGGGCCCCUGGGGUUUGGGAGACCCGGACGCCCCUCUUUCCUGUGAGAAAGCCCACCCCAGAGAGCACAGAAGGGCCAGUGCCCCCCCCUCCUCCACUCGGGAUUGGGCAGGAGCCAGGUGACUCCGAGUCGCCCAUACAGCCCACCACCGAGAGCCAGGUGCAGCCAGUCUGGAUUGCCAGCUGAUUGGUGGACACGCACAGGGCGGGGCAGUGACUGCCAGCUGAUUGGUGGACACGCACAGGGCGGGGCAGUGACUGCCAGCUGAUUGGUGGACACGCACAGGGCGGGGCAGUGACUGCCAGCUGAUUGGUGGACACGCACAGGGCGGGGCAGUGACUGCCAGCUGAUUGGUGGACACGCACAGGGCGGGGCAGUGAUUGCCAGCUGAUUGGUGGACACGCACAGGGCGGGGCAGUGACUGCCAGCUGAUUGGUGGACAUGCACAGGGCAGGCGCAUGGACAGGUGCCUAGUGAGCGCUCAGAAGGAGAGGAUCGUGCUGGGCCGCAGUGCGCGUGCAUCUCGUUCCGCGCACGUGUGCGGCCACGUGUGUAGAGGGUCCUUCCGUCCUACCUGACCCGCGGCCAUCUGCUCCCCCAGGUGUGCAGGGUGCUGCUCGCCAGGGGUGUGGUGAGGUUCGCUCCCUUCCCUUGUGCCGGUGGGUCCGAGGCGGAACUUUGUUCACCGUGUGU